CGAGUCAUUGUAGCAAUACAAGGCAUACGGCUCAGUAACGCGUAGUCCACCUAACCUAUGGACGGGAAUAACCUCGGGAAACUGAGAAUAAUGCCCGAUAGAACAUUAUGCCUGGAAUGGUUUAUGUUCCAAAUGAUUUAUCGCCGUAGGAUGGGACUGCGGCCUAUCAGUUUGUUGGUGAGGUAAUGGCCCACCAAGACUAUUACAGGUACGGGCUCUGAGAGGAGCAGCCCGGAGAUGGGUACUGAGACACGGACCCAGGCCCUAUGGGGCGCAGCAGGCGAGAAAACUUUGCAAUGUGUGAAAGCACGACAAGGUUAAUCCGAGUGGUUUCUGCUAAAGAAACCUUUUGUCAGUCCUAGAAACACUGAUGAAUAAGGGGUGGGCAAGUUCUGGUGUCAGCCGCCGCGGUAAAACCAGCACCUCAAGUGGUCAGGAUGAUUAUUGGGCCUAAAGCAUCCGUAGCCGGCUCUGUAAGUUUUCGGUUAAAUCUGUACGCUCAACGUACAGGCUGCCGGGAAUACUGCAGAGCUAGGGAGUGGGAGAGGUAGACGGUACUCGGUAGGAAGGGGUAAAAUCCUUUGAUCUAUUGAUGACCACCUGUGGCGAAGGCGGUCUACCAGAACACGUCCGACGGUGAGGGAUGAAAGCUGGGGGAGCAAACCGGAUUAGAUACCCGGGUAGUCCCAGCUGUAAACUAUGCAAACUCAGUGAUGCAUUGGCUU
rnacentral:rRNA from 1 species